UAGAAGCGUGAGAGUAGUGCUUUCGGACGCGGGUUCAAUUCCCGCCGCCUCCACCA
rnacentral:tmRNA from 1 species